rnacentral:tRNA from 1 species
GGCCGACUAGCUCAGUUGGUUAGAGCGUGGUGCUAAUAUACCGUUACGCCAAGGUCGUCGGUUCGACCCCGGCGUUGGCCA